GAUGAACGCUAGCUACAGGCUUAACACAUGCAAGUCGAGGGGAAACGACAUCGAAAGCUUGCUUUUGAUGGGCGUCGACCGGCGCACGGGUGAGUAACGCGUAUCCAACCUGCCCACCACUUGGGGAUAACCUUGCGAAAGUAAGACUAAUACCCAAUGAUAUCUCUAGAAGACAUCUGAAAGGGAUUAAAGAUUUAUCGGUGAUGGAUGGGGAUGCGUCUGAUUAGCUUGUUGGCGGGGUAACGGCCCACCAAGGCUACGAUCAGUAGGGGUUCUGAGAGGAAGGUCCCCCCACAUUGGAACUGAGACACGGUCCAAACUCCUACGGGAGGCAGCAGUGAGGAAUAUUGGUCAAAUGGGGCGAGAGCCUGAACCAGCCAAGUAGCGUGCAGGAUGACGGCCCUAUGGGUGUAAACUGCUUUUAUAAGGGAAUAAAGUGAGUCUCGUGAGACUUUUUGCAUGUACCUUAUGAAUAAGGACCGGCUAAUUCCGUG
rnacentral:rRNA from 1 species